UACAAGAAACCGAAGGAGGGAAUUCUAAACGACGCAUACUGGCGGGAGCCGGAGAAGGCAGUUAGGGCAAAGCUCUGAACAUACACAUUCUUCAUGGCAACGCCGGAGGAGGAAUCGCUGCUUCAGGGAACAUCAGACAGGUACAAGACUUUUUCAUCUUCUAGUUGAUCGAAGAAACCAGGAACUGAAAUUAUAAGUCUUCUUAGCCGAUUGAUUUUUCUGCUGUUAAACUGUUCUUCUCGUGGGGGGUUGACACAAUGGUUGACGGGAGUACUGGUGAUCAUUUGCUGGAUCAGCGUUUGAAUCAAAGGGUAACUGCGAAUUAUAUAUGUAAAAGUUUAUGUCACGAAACUGUGGAUGAGUACGAGAUAGAAGACUGCGACAAGGAUUAUCUAACAUUCUUAAAUGGUUGGACGAACCGUGUGGACAGUAGUGAUGUGGAUGUUAAUGCUAAGCUUGAGGAUUUUAGGGAUUAUACUGAUGAUAAUGCGACUUUGCUGUUUAACUGGUCGGAUAAAGAAGUUGAUCCUGUUUAUAGGAUGUUCGUUCAGCAUUUGACUGAAGAUGGGAAAGCUUAUAAGCUUGAAAUUCCAUCAGUUAAUGGGAUGAAAGUGUAUGUGAAGUAUGAGGAACGGGAACAAGAAGAAAAACAAGAACAAUCUAGUCCGAAGAAUAAUCAUAAUAGAAAAAGAGCUGGAACUACCAGGAUCUUAAGGAGUGCUUCAAAGAAAAAGGAGAUAGAGAGGCCAGCAAAAGAAAGCCCGGUUCCUUUGUUUGAGAAAGUGUUCAAUUUGGAUUGUGCAAAAUCUAUAUCUCAUGGGGCAGAUGGAAAUUCAAGCACAAUCCCUGGUACAGAUCUUCGUUCUGCUAAGCAUCUUUCCCAAUCCGAUUCUGACUCAAAUUUGAUAGAUGAAGACUACAAGACAUUUUUGACUGAUUUUUUUUAUGAUGAUGAUCAUAGAUUAAUAUAUAUGCCAGUAGACAGUAGGUCAAUUGUAUAUGAGGAGGAUGAAAGUACUUCUGAUUCAGAACUGGUGAUGGUUGACACUGGUCGAUGUAAACAAAGCCGAGAUUCCUUUGGGAGGACAUAUUCUUAUUCUACUAUGGAUGUAGAUAGUGGGAAAUGUCUUCAGAGUCCUGGUAUACGUAAUGGUUCCAAUUUCAGGGAAAGGCUCAUGAAAGUUCUUAAAAGGCCAUACGACCAACGUGAGUAUGACUAUUAUCUUUAUGAAGUAAGUUGUCGUAAGCCACAAGUGCGUCAUAGAGAGUUACGUCGUCGAGUGCUAAAAGCAUAUACAGUGGAAACUUACGGCAAAUCAUAUCUUCAUAUCUAUAGUGAGCUUGCUACAAAAAUCCAAGAAGUUCAAUAUGAUCGCCUCAGAACUUUGAACCUACUGCGUGGCUUCUUCUAUUGGUUGCAGAAUUUAUCACAUGAGGAUGCGUUUCGGCCUUGGAUGGACCCAUCAUGCUUGGAUGUGUUGCCACAGUCAUAACUUGGAAGUUUAGCUCAAUUUGGCACUCGUUUCACUUUAUAUGCAGACGAAUGAAUCCAAGAGAAAAUGUGACAGGAAAUGAACCAAGAUUUCGAUUAUGAAACAGUGAAUUGAAGGAGGACAAACUAUCACCUCGACUCCAGACUAAACUUCACUCUGUCUCAAAUGGCUAAAAGUUUCAAUUUGGUAUUCCAAAGUUUAAAGACAUCACUAAAAGGGAUUAUGCAUUGAUGAAGCAUCAAAAUGAGACAGGGAAGGGAAUGAUAAGUAUAAGGUGAAGAAUUAUGGUUUCCAUUAUUUGGAAGACCAACACAUUGAUUUGAAUAUUUCACAUA